AGCUAGGUCUAACAUUGUUAGGUCGUCAGCUUCUUAGAGGGACUAUCGGUGUUUAACCGAUGGAAGUUUGAGGCAAUAACAGGUCUGUGAUGCCCUUAGAUGUUCUGGGCCGCACGCGCGCUACACUGAUGAAGUCAACGAGUUCAUUUCCUUCAUCGGAAGAUAUGGGUAAUCUUUUGAAACUUCAUCGUGAUGGGGAUAGAGCAUUGCAAUUAUUGCUCUUGAAUGAGGAAUCCCUAGUAAGCACAAGUCACUAGCUUGUGCUGAUUACGUCCCUGCCCUUUGUACACACCGCCCGUCGCUACUACCGAUUGAAUGGCUUAGUGAGGCCUUCGGAUUGAAUUUUGGGAACUGGCAACAGAUCUCGAUUUUUAAGAAGUUGGUCAAACUUGGUCAUUUAGAGGAAGUAAAAGUCGUAACAAGGUUUCCAUAGGUGAACCUGCGGAAGGAUCAUUAUCAAUAUUAGCGAACCUGGUCGUUUUUGACCAAGGUUUCGUGAACUUUGUAUUUAAAACCCACGCUUUUUUUAAAUAAUAAUUUAUUGUAUCAAUUAUGAUAAAAAAGAUCACUUUCAACAACGGAUCUCUUGGCUCUCGCAUCGAUGAAGAACGUAGCGAAGUGCGAUAAGUAAUGUGAAUUGCAGAAUUCCGUGAGUCAUCGAAUCUUUGAACGCAAAUUGCACUUCCUGGCAUUCCGAGGAGUAUGCCUGUUUGAGGGUCAGUUUAAGUAAAUAUCGUAGUGUUGCUUUUUGUGACGCUUCGGAAUUGGGUCAUCUUGAUCCUUUGGGUUAAGAGACUUAAAAUUGAUGUAUAUCUGUGCAUCUCGGACGUACAUAAGAUUUUUUUUUUAUCCGUCAGGGUUGCCAGGUCCUUAUUAGGUAUGAUCAUGUUGCUUGUGAAAUCCGUACCUAUAACAUAACUCAUAUUUUGACCUCAAAUCAGGUAGGAAUACCCGCUGAACUUAAGCAUAUCAA
rnacentral:rRNA from 1 species